GUAACAGGAGCCUCUGUGCUCACACAGCGCUGGUUGUUUACAGACAUGUGACCGCCUGCCGCCCAGCUGGGGUCUGAAGUUUAGACUGUAAUGGUGAUAUCCUCCCCUCGUUGAGCUCUUUAUCCCUUUCAAAGCAGUCUCUGCCACCGUCCUCUUCCGAAGCCUGUGAAGUCUUCUCACUUGCCAGAUGAGCUGGAAGGAAGUACUGAGAGGCGAGUCCUGCGGCCCAGCAUAACUUCCAAAGGGGCAGAGGAGUGUGAUCUGACCACGUGCCAGAAGGACGACCGGACCGUGGGAAUGCUUCUAAUGUGCUACCAUUACAUAUGGUGUUUGCUGUAAGUUUCUCGUAGAUAACCCUUUAUCACGUUAAGAAAUGCGUUCCUAAGUUUGUUUAGCGUUUAAGUAAAGAGUGUGUUCUUAUCAUGAAUGAGAAUUAAAUUCUAUCAAACGACUUUA